rnacentral:rRNA from 1 species
GACGAACGCUGGCGGCGUGCUUAACACAUGCAAGUCGAACGAAGUGGCGAACGGGUGAGUAACGCGUAAUCAACCUGCCCUUCAGAGGGGGACAACAGUUGGAAACGACUGCUAAUACCGCAUCCUUACGGCGGGGCUUGCGUCUGAUUAGCUAGUUGGUGGGGUAACGGCCCACCAAGGCGAUGAUCAGUAGCCGGUCUGAGAGGAUGAACGGCCACAUUGGGACUGAGACAAGGCCCAGACUUCUACGGGAGGCAGCAGUAGGGAAUCUUCCGCAAUGGAGGAAAGUCUGACAGAGCAACGCGGCGGGAGGGAUGACGGCCUUCGGGUUGUAAAGCUCUGUUAAUCGGGACGCGGUACCGGAAUAGAAAGCCACGGCUAACUACGUGCCAGCAGCCGCGGUAAUAC